GAGGCUGCAGAACGCUUUACCUCAGACCUUGCUAUCAUUUCCGAUUGGGGUAAACGGAACCUUGUGUUCUUCAAUGCCUCAAAAACUCAAAUUUCCCCACCUAUCCACUUGAUACAAUCUUCCAAACACCUAUCCCCUAUUCUUCGACAACACUCAGCUGUCACCUUCUUCAACACUAAAUAUCCUCGGUCUAUCCUUAACUCAAAAUCUCAACUGGAAACUUCACAUCUCUCUCACUAAAUUAGUUUCCUCAAGGUUGGGCGUUCUGAAUCGUCUCCGCCAGUUCUUCUCCCCCGCGCAGUUGCUAACCAUAUGCAGGGGCCUUGUCCGCCCUGGUAUGGAGUAUGCAUCUCACGUGUGGGGGGGCUCCUCUCACACAGCUCUUCUGGACAGAGUGAAGUCUAAGGGUUUGUUCACACUACAAGCAGAGCAGAGCAGAGCAGAGCGGAGCGGCGCGGUUAGGUGUUCACAUAUAAGCAGAACAGGGCGACCUGCACAAGAAUCAUUUGCAGGCAAGGGCCCGAUAAACUCCUAGGUGUUUAUAUGGAAGGAUGAUGAAAAAUGUAAUGAUUUACAAAGGAACAUGAAAUUUCGUUGUUAAGCCAAGUCCCAUGGCUGCGUGGGUCACUGAUGAUUGGGUAUAGGAUCAGAAUAUCACCAAAUUAGCUUUUCUAAACAUACGGCUAUUAUUAUUAAAUUGUACCUCAACUAUGCACAAUCUGGUCAGUUUUUAUAAUUUUGGCUUCAGCCUAAAAAUUCACCUAUGCAGAUAGCUUCUUGGCCAUGUUGAUUGAAGGGUGGAGCUGUGGAGGACUGCUAGCUGCGAGCAGCAAAAAAUACGGCCAAAUUUCCUGAGCGUGCUGCUCCGCUCUGCUUGCGGUGUGAACAACUGAGCGUCUGUACAUUCAAAACUAUGUAAAAAUUAAUGCCACCACUCUGCUCUGCUCUGCCCUGCUCUGCUUGUAGUGUGAACGAACCCUAAGGCUCUUCGUCUCAUCAGCUCUCCUCUUACUGAUAGUCUUCUACCUCUUAAAUUCCGCCGCAAUGUUGCUUCUCUUUCUAUCUUCUAUCGAUAUUUUUAUGCUGACUGCUCUUCUGAACUUGCUAACUGCAUGUCUCCCCCCUCCCGCGGCCUCACCACACCGACUUUCUACUCAAGCUCAUCCCUUUACUGUCCAAAUCCCUUACGCAAGAGUUAACCAGCAUCUUCACUCUUUCAUCCCUCACGCUGGUAAACUCUGGAACAAUGUUCCUUCAUCUGUAUUUCCUCCUGCCUACGACUUGAACUCUUUCAAGAGAGGGUAUCAGGACACCUCUCCUCCCGAAAUUGACCUCUCUUAAAAAAAAUAAAAAAAAAGAUCUCCAAGACAAACACCAAUACUACUACAGUGGUUGCCAUGCUUGUCGUCACAGAACACUGUGCGGGUGAGUAAGGUCUACUACAUGGUCCAGCCCAGGGCUCAAUAACAGCAACAACAUAUCUGUACACCUUCCAUGGGCCUAGAUUAGGCCUGCAGGUAGUGUGACCUUGGCAUCGAAGACGCAUGCUAUCUUUUUUAGUUUUAACCCCAAUUUUUUAAAUACUGUAUUUCCCGCCAUAUGAGAUGCACUUAAAAAAAGAAUUGGAGAAAUCAUCCUGUGUCUUAUACCCCAAUGGUUAGGUUUUAGUAGGCCUAGGGGUUAUUGUUACUGGUAUGAAACCAACACCCAAACCAACACUGUUUGACACAAUAGUUCCAAGAUGUCCCCAGAAUGAAAUAUGUCGUAUUUUGUGGCAUAUAAUGCUCACAUUCUUCAAUCAGAAAAUGCCAAAAAGUUACCCCUGCACGGUACAUAUGCCUAAAGUACAAAUUUUGGUUGAUUUAAAUAAUGAAUAGCGUGAUGCAAUAGAAAAGGAAAGUGUGAAUAAGCAUAAGAGAGGAGGAGGACAUGUGAAGCGAUAAAACCAUACAGGUCACAAGAAGAAGAAGACGUGCCACGUGUGUGAGCCGAGGCGCGGCGUGAACACUUAACACAAAACACAACACCGCCGUGGUGCGCCGGUCACCAGUGUGCCGGGUACCUUUGUGGUGAUGGAUAAAGCGGCUAUUACACGGAACAAAUUUGGUGGAGCAGGGUGCUGCCUGACGUGACUCUGCUCAGCGACCGUCGAGCGGACUUGGGCGGAUUGAUCAAGAACUAUUUCUGCUGUUCAGCAGCCCGGUCAACUGAUGUUUUCUGUAAUACAUGUUCAAAAGAACGGAUAUCCGUGGAUGACUAAAGUGUUUAUUGUUAACAUAUUUUUGUUUCUUAUUGUAAAAAUAACUACCGUAUUUUGUGGCGUAUUACGCGCACCCCAAACUUUAAGACAACAAUUUGGAAAAAAAAAAAAAAAAAAAGUUCUUAAAAUGCUCAAAAUUAUGUACGGUUAAAGAACAUUGACGAUGUACAGUUUUCCGAAAUUUAUAUAUUUUUGGUGUAACCUGUACUGUUUGAAUUGACAAGUGUCCUUGAGUAGGGCAAUGAAAAUGGCGGCUGGGCUGGUGUUGUGAGAAAUAUCUCCUCGUACAUACUGAUUAUGUACAGCUUAUGAGAUCAUAAUUAGCAUAUUAUUCUCACAGUCACUCGUAGGUUAUGACAGAUAACUCGGCAAGACACAAUUCACGCGGUUCUGGUGACACGUGGCAUGCUGCUGUUUGUUGUAUGGGUGUGGUUGUGUGGUUUGUAAACAAUGCAAAUGGCGGCCGGGCUGGUAUUGAGCAAAAUAACUCCUCGUACAAGACUCAUGAUGUACAGUUCCUGAUAUCAUAUUUACCCCAUUAUUCUCACUAAUAUUAAUAAUUAAUGAUGAACACAUGGGUAUUUUUUUUUUUCAAUAUGAUUUUUUGUGUAGCUUGUACUGCUCGAAUUAGAGGAGUUCUGUCCCCCCAAAAUUGGCAGUGAUCGCUCGCUACUUUAACUAAAACUGAGUUAACUCCCGUUGAAGCGAUGAGGACUCGCACACUUUAAAAUCUCUCACGUGAUAAAUCAUGAUGCACAGUGCCUGUAGUCUACAAGACAUUGAUCCCAAGUGUUUAUGCCAACAUUUUUCAGGUGAAGUGGUGAGAAACAUUGUACCAUUCAGUUAUUACAAGCUAAAUACUCACACCUAAGCUUACACCAUUCUCACAUUUUUUUAUAAUCUCCUGACGCAUGUAUAGCUUGAACCAUUUUUCUAAUAGAUUCCACGAAGACUAAUGUUCAAUCUGGAAAGUACCGAACAGAAUCUAGUCAGUAGAAUGCAUGGUAAAGAGAUAUUUAAAAGGCCGAAACCCGCACAGUACCGAAAGGAGCCGCCGAGGGGCCGAACUCACUCUCACCAAGACUUACCAACACAAAGGGCUGUAGCUGUCUAGGACACUGGGGAGAAAGAAACAGUAGAACACCUAAUUGUAGAAUGUAGCAACUAUGGGAGGCAGAGAGGGGAGUUAGUACCAGAAGAAGUGAUGGUGAUGAGCCGAUGAACAGUGAUACAGGUCAAAAGAAGAAGAAGAAAGUUUGUUUUGGAUUGGAAUGCCAAUUCGUAUAGAUCUAUCUCCAAGGUAUAAAUACAUAAUGAACAAGUAAAGUCUGUGUUCGUGAUUUAUUAAUUGCUUUAGUGUAUCAAGUGCCUAAAACUGAUAGUACAGAAGUUUUUGUAGGCCAAAAAAACAACAAACAACAGGUCGUAGAUUCAGGCUGCUGUGCAACCAAAGUUUCAUAAUUUCAUUUAUCAUAAUACCGCAUCUGUGUCAAAGAUUAUCGAAGAAUAAUGUUCUCAAUAUUCAUAACUUUGUUUUAAAUUACAUUGGGAUAAGCAAAAAUUUUUUUUUAUAGUAGACCCACUUUUCUGUGCCAAAUUAAGCUUUCCAGAUAAUCUGGUAUUUUUUUUUGAGGGCCAGAACUCCUCUAAUUGGCAACAGUGCUUCUAAGUCAUACAAAACAAUGCAAAUGGCAGCCGGGUCGUGUCGGCGCCUGACGGAAAUGCGGGAUAACAACAAGGCAUGGGUGUAAGCGCCGCCCAAGCAUUUCAAAUUUGGCUCUUCAUUGUGGUGUACUCUGCAGUUUUGCAACACUCAUAUAUAUGUAACUUGUAUUUGCUAUUUUGAUACAUUUAUAAUUUUACAUGUUGUAUGGUGGCCAGUUUGAGGUUACUUGUGUAAUUUUUUGUCAUGUAAGUUUCAUGUGGAUUUCGUGUGUUGUGGUGAUCGCUGGGUAGGGGGUAGGAAGGAGCCUUGGAGGCGGCAGAGGUUCAAGACACUCGUCCAGCACGCCGCCGCUGUAGCCGCCCUCCACAAGAAUGAGAUAGCGACACCGUGCUAUUGUUGUUUGUGCUUACUGUUGCAAGAUGGGAGAGGACUGGGAGGUGGAUUUGGCUCGCAGGAGGUUGCUCGUUGAGGCAUGGGAAGGGUUAUAAUCUUGAAACAAGUACACCCAUGUCAGCUGUUUGGUGGAGGAAUAAAGGCCAGUCUGACGUGGGGAGUUUCAGUUGUACCAUUUGGAGUGAGCGGUCUCCUACAAUGGGCGAUCCUCCACCGAUUUCAUUUUUGUAUGGUAGUUAUUUGAUCGCCCUGUAUUCUAUGGUAACAUAUUAUAAGACUGCUAUGGACUACGAAAGAAUCAUAAACAAUAAUAAAGGUAAGUUUGCAGUUGUUAUUGGACAAGAUGAAAAAAAUAAAGACCCUUAUAACACCCCAAAGAAGAAAAAAAAUCAAUAAUAAUUUGUACCUUCGGCGUAUAGCACGCAGGGUAAACUUAAAGGCAUUUUUUAUGUGAAAAAGGUGUGCAUUAAAGCCACAAAAUACGGUAUAUUAAAACAUGAUUGACAAAUUAAUCAACAUCUAUUUCUACUUGAAAGAAGGUGUACAGUCCCUGAAAGUCAAGAUCAAGACCAAGAUUGCCCAUCAAACAUAGCAUCCCCGUGUGAUUAGUUCCCUCAGUAGCUCGGCGAAAGUUAGCGCCUGCACACUGCGCAGUGAGUGAAUCUACCACCCAACCCUUUUGUUUACCAUUUCAGUCACAGGUACUAGGGGUAAGAGCAGUGUAACUCUUCAACCAACAGUGGAACACUUUGAACACAGAGAGGAGCACAAAGCAGCAUACGGUAUCACAGUCAUAAUUGGUAGGCGGUGGCUGAGUGGUAGUGUGCUGGGCCCACAUUCACCGCGUGAUGGACGACACGAGUUUGAAUCCCAACGCUACCACCUGGAAUUUUUCAGUCACCGCUGAGUGGCUUAAAACUACCCACAUGCUGUCCUGAAGACCACCCAUCAACCCGGACUCUAUGGUGGGGUUGCAUGUGACGUCAUCAUCAGCAAUUAGCUCAUCACUUCUGAGCUGCCCUGCAAAGGCCCGCCAUUUUGGGAGGCACAUAUUUACCGCAAGAGAGCUCCUCAGCUUUCCCCGCCAUUUUACUGUGUUGGUGUUUGUGUUAGUGUCCAUCUAUUACUAUGUGGGUGGGUGUGUUAGUGUCCAUCUAUUACUGUGUGGGUGUGUGUGUUAGUGGCCCAUCUAUUACUGUGUGGGUGGGUGUGUUAGUGUCCAUCUAUUACUGUGUGGGUGUGUGUGUUAGUGUCCAUCUAUUACUGUGUGGGUGUGGGUGUUAGUGUCCAUCUAUUACUGUGUGGGUGUGGGUGUUAGUGUCCAUCUAUUACUGUGUGGGUGUGGGUGUUAGUGUCCAUCUAUUACUGUGUGUGUGUGGGUGUUAGUGCCCAUCUAUUACUGUGUGGGUGGGUGUGUUAGUGUCCAUCUAUUACUGUGUGGGUGUGGGUGUGUUAGUGUCCAUCUAUUACUGUGUGGGUGUGUGUGUUAGUGUCCAUCUAUUACUGUGUGGGUGUGGGUGUUAGUGUCCAUCUAUUACUGUGUGGGUGGGUGUGUUAGUGUCCAUCUGUUACUGUGUGGGUGGGUGUGUUAGUGUCCAUCUAUUAAUGUGUGGGUGUGGGUGUUAGUGGCCCAUCUAUUACUGUGUGGGUGUGGGUGUUAGUGUCCAUCUAUUACUGUGUGGGUGUGGGUGUGUUAGUGUCCAUCUAUUACUGUGUGGGUGGGUGUGUUAGUGUCCAUCUAUUACUGUGUGGGUGUGGGUGUUAGUGUCCAUCUAUUACUGUGUGGGUGUGUUAGUGUCCAUCUAUUACUGUGUGGGUGUGGGUGUUAGUGUCCAUCUAUUACUGUGUGGGUGUGGGUGUUAGUGUCCAUCUAUUACUGUGUGGGUGUGGGUGUUAGUGGCCCAUCUAUUAAUUACAGUGUGGGUGUGGGUGUUAGUGUCCAUCUAUUAUUGUGUGGGUGGGUGGAUGUUAGUGUCCAUCUAUUAGUGUGUGUUUUAGUGGCCCAUCUAUUACUGUUACUGAUAGGUGCUACACUGCCACUCGCAGUAGGUAGACAGGGGCUGCCAAGUAUAGUUCAGUGGGCUUUUUGCGAACCCCUUACGUUCUUAUGUUCUUACUAAACACCGCCCGGUGGUUAAAUUAGUCAUAUAUUCAUUGUUUUUAUCAUCUAAUAUAUCUUGAAGUUUGAUAAUAAAUGUAUAUACUGUAUGUCCAUCAUCAUUUGGCAGCUUAAUGGAUAGUUAUAUAAUGAAGCCUAGCUUCACUGUCCUGAUUAUUUGCAUAUUCACUUAGAUUGUGACAUGAAGACGGGAGGCACGGGCCAGCCAUCAUCAGGGGGCAGGGGCUCAGCUGAUCGCUCUUGCCUCCCAAAAUGGCUGUCAGUUGUUUUACCUAAAACAAAAGCGAAGCAGUGUGACGUCAGUGCAACCCCUUUAUAGGAAACCGUCCAAGUUAAUCAAGAACGAGUUCUGGGGGGCAGCAUGAGCCAUGAGAAGAUGGCGCCACUAUAAACAUUUGCCUGCGCCGUGACGGGCUGGGGCCGACUACCAUCCAGGCCCCUCAAGCAAGCCUACCGGCUCUAUAGGCGUAGACGUAAAAAAAAUAUAAUAAUAAUAAUUCACAUAUAUAACACCAUGUAAACCCCUUAUGGCCAUUACAUAAUGUAGUUU